rnacentral:pre_miRNA from 1 species
UUUGACUCUUCGUCUUAUUUGAAUUUUUUAUGAUUAAUAUUUUUAUUAUUACUACAUGAUAAAACAUGAAUAGUACUUCACAUGCGACUAUUUUUUAAAAAAAUUUAAUAAAUUUUUCAAAUAAGACGGCCGGUCAAA